GUUCUCUUUGGUAGCACAUAUACUAAAAUUUGAAUGAUACAGAGAAGAUUAGCACUGAAGCUGCA
rnacentral:snRNA from 1 species